UACGUAGGGGGCAAGCGUUGUCCGGAUUUAUUGGGCGUAAAGAGCGUGUAGGCGGCCAGAUAGGUCCGUUGUGAAAACUGGAGGCUUAACCUCCAGCAGUCGAUGGAAACCAUCUGGCUAGAGUCCGGAAGAGGAGAGUGGAAUUCCUGGUGUAGCGGUGAAAUGCGCAGAUAUCAGGAAGAACACCCGUGGCGAAGGCGGCUCUCUGGGACGGUACUGACGCUGAGACGCGAAAGCGUGGGGAGCAAACAGG
rnacentral:rRNA from 1 species